rnacentral:rRNA from 1 species
UACGUAGGGGGCAAGCGUUGUCCGGAUUUAUUGGGCGUAAAGAGCGUGUAGGCGGCUUUACAGGUCCGUUGUGAAAACUCGAGGCUCAACCUCGAGACGCCGGUGGAAACCGUAAGGCUAGAGUCCGGAAGAGGCGAGUGGAAUUCCGGGUGUAGCGGUGAAAAUGCGUAGAUAUCCGGAGGAACACCGGUGGCGAAGGCGGCAUCCUGGACCGGUAUUGACGCUGAGGCGCGAAAAGCUGAGGG